AUUGAACGCUGGCGGCAUGCCUUACACAUGCAAGUCGAACGGCAGCACGGGGGCAACCCUGGUGGCGAGUGGCGAACGGGUGAGUAACAUAUCGGAACGUGCCCUGGAGUGGGGGAUAACUAGUCGAAAGAUUAGCUAAUACCGCAUACGAUCUACGGAUGAAAGUGGGGGAUCGCAAGACCUCAUGCUCGUGGAGCGGCCGAUAUCUGAUUAGCUAGUUGGUGGGGUAAAGGCCUACCAAGGCAUCGAUCAGUAGCUGGUCUGAGAGGACGACCAGCCACACUGGGACUGAGACACGGCCCAGACUCCUACGGGAGGCAGCAGUGGGGAAUUUUGGACAAUGGGCGCAAGCCUGAUCCAGCAAUGCCGCGUGAGUGAAGAAGGCCUUCGGGUUGUAAAGCUCUUUUGUCAGGGAAGAAACGGUGAGGGCUAAUAUCCUUUGCUAAUGACGGUACCUGAAGAAUAAGCACCGGCUAACUACGUGCCAGCAGCCGCGGUAAUACGUAGGGUGCAAGCGUUAAUCGGAAUUACUGGGCGUAAAGCGUGCGCAGGCGGUUGUGCAAGACCGAUGUGAAAUCCCCGGGCUUAACCUGGGAAUGGCAUCGGUGACUGCACGGCUAGAGUGUGUCAGAGGGGGGUAGAAUUCCACGUGUAGCAGUGAAAUGCGUAGAGAUGUGGAGGAAUACCGAUGGCGAAGGCAGCCCCCUGGGAUAACACUGACGCUCAUGCACGAAAGCGUGGGGAGCAAACAGGAUUAGAUACCCUGGUAGUCCACGCCCUAAACGAUGUCAACUAGUUGUCGGGUCUUAAUUGACUUGGUAACGCAGCUAACGCGUGAAGUUGACCGCCUGGGGAGUACGGUCGCAAGAUUAAAACUCAAAGGAAUUGACGGGGACCCGCACAAGCGGUGGAUGAUGUGGAUUAAUUCGAUGCAACGCGAAAAACCUUACCUACCCUUGACAUGGCAGGAAUCCCGGAGAGAUUCGGGAGUGCUCGAAAGAGAACCUGCACACAGGUGCUGCAUGGCUGUCGUCAGCUCGUGUCGGGAGAUGUUGGGUUAAGUCCCGCAACGAGCGCAACCCUUGUCAUUAGUUGCUACGAAAGGGCACUCUAAUGAGACUGCCGGUGACAAACCGGAGGAAGGUGGGGAUGACGUCAAGUCCUCAUGGCCCUUAUGGGUAGGGCUUCACACGUCAUACAAUGGUACAUACAGAGGGCCGCCAACCCGCGAGGGGGAGCUAAUCCCAGAAAGUGUAUCGUAGUCCGGAUUGCAGUCUGCAACCCGACUGCAUGAAGUUGGAAUCGCUAGUAAUCGCGGAUCAGCAUGUCGCGGUGAAUACGUUCCCGGGUCU
rnacentral:rRNA from 1 species